rnacentral:siRNA from 1 species
ACAAAAAUGAUGAAAUUGGCGCCA